rnacentral:rRNA from 1 species
ACGAACGCUGGCGGCGUGCCUAAUACAUGCAAGUCGAGCGAAGUUUUUCUGGUGCUUGCACUAGAAAAACUUAGCGGCGAACGGGUGAGUAACACGUAAAGAACCUGCCUCAUAGACUGGGACGACUAUUGGAAACGAUAGCUAAUACCGGAUAACAGUAUUUCUCGCAUGAGAGAUAUUUAAAAGUUGGUUAUGCUAACACUAUGAGAUGGCUUUGCGGUGCAUUAGCUAGUUGGUGGGGUAAAGGCCCACCAAGGCGACGAUGCAUAGCCGACCUGAGAGGGUGAUCGGCCACACUGGGACUGAGACACGGCCCAGACUCCUACGGGAGGCAGCAGUAGGGAAUCUUCCGCAAUGGGCGAAAGCCUGACGGAGCAACGCCGCGUGAGUGAAGAAGGAUUUCGGUUCGUAAAGCUCUGUUGUUAGGGAAGAAUGGAUAUGUAGUAACUAUACAUGUAAGAGACGGUACCUAACCAGAAAGCCACGGCUAACUACGUG